ensembl:lncRNA
GAGAGAGAGAGAGAGAGAAAGAGGAGAGAGAAGAGAAGAGAAGAGAGGAGUGAGAAGAGAGACAGAAGAGAGAGAGAAGAGAAAGAGAGAGCAUUAAAUGUGUUUUAGUGUCAUUGAGUCAUGGCAGUUAGUACACUGAUGAUCAGUGGUGUCUGUAUGGGGAACUGCAGAAAGAGCAGAUGUGCGUUGAGAAAUCCAACACCUCCUGAACCCGUCCCAGAAAAUAAACCGGGUUUUUCCCUGACCAGAAUCCACAUCUGCUCUAGCGCCAUGUCAUCAGACAUUUCUGAGAAGUGACCCUGGCUAAUUUGACUGAAACGUUAAAAAACCCCAAUAAAGUGCGCAGGGAAGUCCGAGACAAAGCUAAAUAUAACAAAACUGACUGUGAUAAAGUUUGGACUUCUCUACAUUUGCCUUGCGACUCCAGUGCACAAGUAAAGAGGGGGGAAAAAACCAACGACAAAAUGCAGAAAUUGUGUACAGCUGCCUCCGAAACUAUUGGAACGGCCAGUGCAUUGUCUGUGCUGCAGACCGAAGACGUUUUGGGUUUGAAAUCGAAAGACGAAUAUGAGAAAACAGAGUUGGGCAUUUCAGCUUCCAUUUCCUGGUGUAGACGUGUUAAACCACACAGAAACAGAACACAUUUUUGGAUCGGACCACCUGAUUUGACAGGGGUUUCUUGUGACCCAGGUGUGUCCUGUUCAAACAAUAAACAGCUCUAAAUUGGUUGUAGCCUUCCGUUUCGCCUGUGUAGACGGCGUUGGUUGUUAAAAAGGAUAAACCAACACGAAGAUCAGAGAGCUGUCAAUGGGAGAACAAGAACGCCGUUUAAGCUGAAGCUGAAAACAAACACUGGAUGUAGCCAACACAACGAUUUGGAACGUCCUGAAUGAGAAAGAAACCCCUGGUGUACCGAGAGAGACACCGAACGGGUCGGACAAGGAAAACACCACCGCCUGAUGACAGAAACUUUGUGAGAUCUGUGAAGAAAAACCCCGAUCAGACCAAAAACGACAAUCAGUGACGUACACGUCGCGUAUCGUAGAAGCGUCCUUGAAAAGAUACUUGUGUCCCAUCACCCCGCCCGAUGUUACCGAGAAUCGCCGCGUGAAAACUUCAAGACCCUGGAGACUCCUUAAAUGUUAAACGUCUCCUCGGAGACAACGUCACCGACGCGUUUAUUCCCAUCGGUUUAUUUGUCCCGUGUAACGAGAGCGUUAAGAUCCCCCUGCGGUUGGAAUUACAGCCACGCUACAGUCAGAGCCGCUGUUAGAGAAAACGAACCGACACCCUCGGACCAAUCGGAAAGGGGAAUUCGACGGCGCUGCGAUGUUCGACAGAGUCUUCGUCGCAGGCGCUGGGAAACAGCGUCACGGGCUCUCUGGACAGACUGCAGCACUUUCCCUCCAGAGAUGAAGGCCAAAAAAAACCCAUCAGCACAUCUUUACUCACACGAGUGGAGUGUUUUAUUCGUUAACCCGACGCGUGUGCAGUCUCAGAGACCGCCUUAAUGAAGUGCACCAGAGAUAAAGUGCAGACACUGCACCACUUCCUGCCGAUGUUAUCGACCUGCUGGUUCCUCUACAGGACAGGUGUUUGUAAAAGAGAAAAGAGAAUGCGAUCACUCUCUCUCUCUCUCUCUCACACACACACACACACACACACACACACACACACACGCGGGAAGUGAUGUUUGCAUGUGGAUGAGACAGGAACCUGAUGUUCCCC